UACGAAGGGGGCUAGCGUUGUUCGGAAUUACUGGGCGUAAAGCGCGCGCAGGCGGUUCUUUAAGUCAGGGGUGAAAGCCCAGAGCUCAACUCUGGAAUUGCCUUGAAACUAGAGAACUUGGGUACGGGAGAGGUGAGUGGAAUUCCGAGUGUAGAGGUGAAAUUCGUAGAUAUCGAGAGGAACACCUGCGGCGAAGGCGGGUUGGCUGGGCUGACACUGCGCUGAUGCGCGAAAGCGUGGGGAGCGAUCCGG
rnacentral:rRNA from 1 species